UGCAAGUCGAGCGGUAACAGAAAGUAGCUUGCUACUUUGCUGACGAGCGGCGGACGGGUGAGUAAUGCUUGGGAACAUGCCUUGAGGUGGGGGACAACAGUUGGAAACGACUGCUAAUACCGCAUAAUGUCUACGGACCAAAGGGGGCUUCGGCUCUCGCCUUUAGAUUGGCCCAAGUGGGAUUAGCUAGUUGGUGAGGUAAUGGCUCACCAAGGCAACGAUCCCUAGCUGGUUUGAGAGGAUGAUCAGCCACACUGGAACUGAGACACGGUCCAGACUCCUACGGGAGGCAGCAGUGGGGAAUAUUGCACAAUGGGCGAAAGCCUGAUGCAGCCAUGCCGCGUGUGUGAAGAAGGCCUUCGGGUUGUAAAGCACUUUCAGUCAGGAGGAAAGGGUGUGAGUUAAUACCUCAUAUCUGUGACGUUACUGACAGAAGAAGCACCGGCUAACUCCGUGCCAGCAGCCGCGGUAAUACGGAGGGUGCGAGCGUUAAUCGGAAUUACUGGGCGUAAAGCGUACGCAGGCGGUUUGUUAAGCGAGAUGUGAAAGCCCCGGGCUCAACCUGGGAACUGCAUUUCGAACUGGCAAACUAGAGUGUGAUAGAGGGUGGUAGAAUUUCAGGUGUAGCGGUGAAAUGCGUAGAGAUCUGAAGGAAUACCGAUGGCGAAGGCAGCCACCUGGGUCAACACUGACGCUCAUGUACGAAAGCGUGGGGAGCAAACGGGAUUAGAUACCCCGGUAGUCCACGCCGUAAACGAUGUCUACUAGAAGCUCGGA
rnacentral:rRNA from 1 species